UGACGAUGUGGCAGGGUCUCACAGCUGGCAGAGAAUCGUGACUGUUACUAAACAGAAUUGCACAGACAAAGGCAGUGCUUCGACACUGGGUUCAGAGAGGCUUUGUAGCCCAGGUGGUGCCCAGGGGCCACAGCUGACGGGCAUGAGGUGCAAAACACACUGGAGAGACUGAAAUACUUAUGGCAACCAUGGGCAGUGGCAUUUGCCAGGAAGGGGCUGCAGCGCUGUCUGGUUCUUGCCAAACAGCUCGUAGGGAGCUCUGCUUCAAACCAGAGGCUGGAGAAAAUGCCUCUCCUCGCCCCUCACCUGCUCCCUGGGUGGGUGGCUCAUGGCUCAGCCUAACCAAGGACUCCUGAGAAGUCCCUGCUCUGGAUUCCCCUGCGGUGCUGCUUCCUCUGGUCCUACAGGUGCCUGCGCACAGCCUCGGGCUCUGUGCUCGUCUUUCAGAGCCUCACUUGGAGGCUGUUUGUGCUUAGGCUGGAAGAAUGGGUUUGUUUCCUUUUGGAUUUAAAAUCUAAAUUACAGCAGGGGUGAAAUGCGGUGACUGGGCUGGCGAAGGCCCCGACUGUGCAAUAAAUCUGCAAGCAUGGGCCUGGCUUUUGCGCAGGGGGCUCUGCAAGUGCCAAGGUCGCUGCUAAUAAAUCUGACUGGAGGACCAGGAGGAAAUUUUUUUAAACUUACUGCAAACAGCAGGCUCCUUUUUAACCAUCUUUUUUUUUUUUCCCUGCUCCCUUCUGCUGAUUCAUGCUCCUGCUGCUUCGCCACUGGGAGACGCCAGCAUUCCUGAAGGUCAUCACUUGCAUGCAGCAGCUCACGCUGCGGAGUGUCUGCCAGCAUCUAGGAAAUCGAAAUGCUAAAGUGCCUGCGAUCAUUUAUAUUUUCCCUGGCAGUGACAGACAAUCCACAGCUUGCCAACUGAGGAGCUGCCACGUUUCCAGGCUGCUACACUGCUCGAAGGAGAGCAAUGAAGAAGACAUGGUGAAAUCCUUCCUUUGCUUCUUCAGGUUAUUUAGUGAGUAUUAAACUGUGGCAGUACCAAAAAUCCUGAGUAAAAUGACGUGAAGACACUGUGCUACAGGCUGUGGUAGGUUUAGGAACCAUCAGUUAUUUAAUGUCCAUCUCUUCAGAAGUGACCACUAAUCUUUUACCCUUUCCUUUAUGUGUUUGUAAGAG
rnacentral:lncRNA from 1 species